GAUGAACGCUGGCGGCGUGCCUAAUACAUGCAAGUCGAGCGAACGGACGAGAAGCUUGCUUCUCUGAUGUUAGCGGCGGACGUGUGAGUAACACGUGGAUAACCUACCUAUAAGACUGGGAUAACUUCGGGAAACCGUAGCUAAUACCGGAUAAUAUUUUGAACCGCAUGGUUCAAAAGUGAAAGACGGUCUUGCUGUCACUUAUAGAUGGAUCCGCGCUGCAUUAGCUAGUUGGUAAGGUAACGGCUUACCAAGGCAACGAUGCAUAGCCGACCUGAGAGGGUGAUCGGCCACACGGGAACUGAGACACGGUCCAGACUCCUACGGGAGGCAGCAGUAGGGAAUCUUCCGCAAUGGGCGAAAGCCUGACGGAGCAACGCCGCGUGAGUGAUGAAGGUCUUCGGAUCGUAAAACUCUGUUAUUAGGGAAGAACAUAUGUGUAAGUAACUGUGCACAUCUUGACGGUACCGAAUCAGAAAGCCACGGCUAACUACGUG
rnacentral:rRNA from 1 species